GCUUGGGUAGUUUAAUUAAAAUGUUGAUUUGUGACGUCAAUGAUGUGGUGUCACCUCAGGUC
rnacentral:tRNA from 1 species